UCCCUCUUAGCUCAGUUGGUAGAGCGCGUCACUAGUAUUUGUCGAAAAGAAAAAUACCUAUGACGAGGUCAGUCGUUCAAGUCGGCUAGAGGGAA